rnacentral:rRNA from 1 species
UAUGAAUAAGGAUCGGCUAACUCCGUGCCAGCAGCCGCGGUAAUACGGAGGAUCCGAGCGUUAUCCGGAUUUAUUGGGUUUAAAGGGAGCGUACAUGGAUGUUUAAG